rnacentral:rRNA from 1 species
GAAAAUCAAGGCUGAGGCGUGAUGACGAGGCACUACGGUGCUGAAGCAACAAAUGCCCUGCUUCCAGGAAAAGCCUCUAAGCAUCAGGUAACAUCAAAUCGUACCCCAAACCGACACAGGUGGUCAGGUAGAGAAUACCAAGGCGCUUGAGAGAACUCGGGUGAAGGAACUAGGCAAAAUGGUGCCGUAACUUCGGGAGAAGGCACGCUGAUAUGUAGGUGAAGCGACUUGCUCGUGGAGCUGAAAUCAGUCGAAGAUACCAGCUGGCUGCAACUGUUUAUUAAAAACACAGCACUGUGCAAACACGAAAGUGGACGUAUACGGUGUGACGCCUGCCCGGUGCCGGAAGGUUAAUUGAUGGGGUCAGCGCAAGCGAAGCUCUUGAUCGAAGCCCCGGUAAACGGCGGCCGUAACUAUAACGGUCCUAAGGUAGCGAAAUUCCUUGUCGGGUAAGUUCCGACCUGCACGAAUGGCGUAAUGAUGGCCAGGCUGUCUCCACCCGAGACUCAGUGAAAUUGAACUCGCUGUGAAGAUGCAGUGUACCCGCGGCAAGACGGAAAGACCCCGUGAACCUUUACUAUAGCUUGACACUGAACAUUGAGCCUUGAUGUGUAGGAUAGGUGGGAGGCUUUGAAGUGUGGACGCCAGUCUGCAUGGAGCCGACCUUGAAAUACCACCCUUUAAUGUUUGAUGUUCUAACGUUGACCCGUGAUCCGGGUUGCGGACAGUGUCUGGUGGGUAGUUUGACUGGGGCGGUCUCCUCCUAAAGAGUAACGGAGGAGCACGAAGGUUGGCUAAUCCUGGUCGGACAUCAGGAGGUUAGUGCAAUGGCAUAAGCCAGCUUGACUGCGAGCGUGACGGCGCGAGCAGGUGCGAAAGCAGGUCAUAGUGAUCCGGUGGUUCUGAAUGGAAGGGCCAUCGCUCAACGGAUAAAAGGUACUCCGGGGAUAACAGGCUGAUACCGCCCAAGAGUUCAUAUCGACGGCGGUGUUUGGCACCUCGAUGUCGGCUCAUCACAUCCUGGGGCUGAAGUAGGUCCCAAGGGUAUGGCUGUUCGCCAUUUAAAGUGGUACGCGAGCUGGGUUUAGAACGUCGUGAGACAGUUCGGUCCCUAUCUGCCGUGGGCGCUGGAGAACUGAGGGGGGCUGCUCCUAGUACGAGAGGACCGGAGUGGACGCAUCACUGGUGUUCGGGUUGUCAUGCCAAUGGCACUGCCCGGUAGCUAAAUGCGGAAGAGAUAAGUGCUGAAAGCAUCUAAGCACGAAACUUGCCCCGAGAUGAGUUCUCCCUGACUCCUUGAGAGUCCUGAAGGAACGUUGAAGACGACGACGUUGAUAGGCCGGGUGUGUAAGCGCAGCGAUGCGUUGAGCUAACCGGUACUAAUGAACCGUGAGG